AGUCAGAACCACUCAGGACACAGCAUGGACAUGAGGGUCCCCGCUCAGCUCCUGGGGCUCCUGCUGCUCUGGCUCCCAGGUGCCAGAUGUGACAUCCAGAUGACCCAGUCUCCAUCCUCCCUGUCUGCAUCUGUAGGAGACAGAGUCACCAUCACUUGCCAGGCGAGUCAGGGCAUUAGCAAUAAUUUAGCCUGGUAUCAGCAGAAACCGGGGAAAGCCCCUAAGCUCCUGAUCUAUAAGGCAUCCACUUUGCAAAGUGGAGUCCCAUCAAGGUUCAGCGGCAGUGGAUCUGGGACGGAAUUCACUCUCACCAUCAGUAGCCUGCAGCCUGAAGAUUUUGCAACUUAUUACUGUCAACAGCAUAAUAGUUACCCUAAAACAUUUGGGGAAACCAGAGUGGCAGCUCAGGCAACUCCAAGUACUCCUUUUGCUAUUCUUUGA